UACGAAGGGGGCUAGCGUUGCUCGGAAUCACUGGGCGUAAAGGGCGCGUAGGCGGACUCUUAAGUCGGGGGUGAAAGCCCAGGGCUCAACCCUGGAAUUGCCUUCGAUACUGAGAGUCUUGAGUUCGGGAGAGGUGAGUGGAACUGCGAGUGUAGAGGUGAAAUUCGUAGAUAUUCGCAAGAACACCAGUGGCGAAGGCGGCUCACUGGCCCGAUACUGACGCUGAGGCACGAAAGCGUGGGGAGCAAACAGG
rnacentral:rRNA from 1 species